GGGUAAAUAGCUAAAUUAAGUUUAUUAUUUACGUUAAUAAGAUACCUGAUUAGGUUUUACUUU
rnacentral:tRNA from 1 species